GUUAGUUUGGCUCAACUGUUUCGGGAAAAGAAUCGUUCCAUGGAUUGUGUGCCAUACAAUCAAGCCCGGAUAAAGCUACCACAUCCACUGAUACGUAAAUGCAGCAUUUGUUAAGGAACUUGGAUUUGGCUGCCGACAGAUAAUUCUUACGCAGACUCCUCUACAAAAUACCGUAAAUGACUGCUGGUUUGGUCUCAGAAAUCGACAGUUAUCGUUUGCCUGAAUACACCAAAUUGAGAUACUUGACACUUUUUGGCCAACGAAAAUCAACCAGGAGCUUAGCUACAUAGACGUAUCUUUCCAGAUGAUCAAACAGUUUGAUCUGUCGCAAUGCAUCGAACGGGCGCUACGGGCAACAAUGCACGGUUCAGAUGUUCCGCAACGUAACGCUGGUACAGAACAAAUUGUGGCCUAAACUCUACGCUAAGUAUCUGCUAAGGAUUGUCCAGAAUGUGAUUGGGGCCUAUCGGCAGCAGAACCAGGAAUU